UCUUCGGGGAUUUUGUCAACGAUGUUCUGUAGAAGCUGCCAUACGACAGCAUGCUCUAGAAGAAUCGUACGAGCUCGAUUAUGUAUAUUCGUAUAUAUAAUGACGACUAAAGCUUCAAUAGAAGAGUCUUGGAGUUUUUUUUUCUUUUGCUACUUAAUUGUAUAAGACGUUUUGAUUUUAAGUUAUGUUUUCGGUUUGUAUAAUUUGGAAUGGAGGGAGUAGAUAUAGUUGUUCUCGAUCGAGAAAAAGGUGUUUCACCUAAAGGAGCAAAUAAAGGAAUGUACCACCAAGAAAUAGACAUUGUUAUCGGUUUAUAAUUAUUUUCACCACUUAAGCGAUACACCACAAGAUGCUUAAGGAGAGAGAAUAUUGUGAGCAAGACCGACUAUGGACCAUAGCGAAAGAUGUAACCGUCUAGAGCCCGAUUGCUAGGAUUUUAAUUGAAUAAUUUUCCAUAUGAAGAUAUUUUUUUUGUCUGAUUUAAUUAUACCCCCUAAAAUAUGAAUUGACUCUGAUUUAUCUUUCCACACAGCUGAUUUAAUGACUCGUUGGAAAAAACCACCAUCAGAGCUGCUUAGGGUGUAAGAUGAAACUGUUUGAAAAUUUGAGGAGAUGUCAAAAAUCUGCUUUUAUAGAUGAGAGGAAAAAAAAUUGGAGGACAGUAAAAGUUGAGGUAGGACUUUUUUUAUAUAAUUAAUUAAAGUGUCGGGCUUCCACCUUACU
rnacentral:lncRNA from 1 species